CCUACGGGGGGCAGCAGUGGGGAAUAUUGCACAAUGGGGGAAACCCUGAUGCAGCGACGCCGCGUGAGCGAUGAAGUAUUUCGGUAUGUAAAGCUCUAUCAGCAGGGAAGAAACUGACGGUACCUGACUAAGAAGCACCGGCUAAAUACGUGCCAGCAGCCGCGGUAAUACGUAUGGUGCAAGCGUUAUCCGGAUUUACUGGGUGUAAAGGGAGCGUAGACGGACUUGCAAGUCUGAAGUGAAAGCCCGGGGCUCAACCCCGGGACUGCUUUGGAAACUGUAGGUCUAGAGUGCUGGAGAGGUAAGUGGAAUUCCUAGUGUAGCGGUGAAAUGCGUAGAUAUUAGGAGGAACACCAGUGGCGAAGGCGGCGUACUGGACAGUAACUGACGUUGAGGCUCGAAAGCGUGGGGAGCAAACAGGAUUAGAUACCCGGGUAGUC
rnacentral:rRNA from 1 species